GAUGAACGCUGGCGGCGUGCCUAAUACAUGCAAGUCGAGCGAACAGACGAGGAGCUUGCUCCUCUGACGUUAGCGGCGGACGGGUGAGUAACACGUGGAUAACCUACCUAUAAGACUGGGAUAACUUCGGGAAACCGGAGCUAAUACCGGAUAAUAUAUUUAACCGCAUGGUUCAAUAGUGAAAGACGGUUUUGCUUUCACUUAUAAAUGGAUCCGCGCCGCAUUAGCUAGUUGGUAAGGUAACGGCUUACCAAGGCAACGAUGCGUAGCCGACCUGAGAGGGUGAUCGGCCACACUGGAACUGAGACACGGUCCAGACUCCUACGGGAGGCAGCAGUAGGGAAUCUUCCGCAAUGGGCGAAAGCCUGACGGAGCAACGCCGCGUGAGUGAUGAAGGUCUUCGGAUCGUAAAACUCUGUUAUUAGGGAAGAACAAAUGUGUAAGUAACUAUGCACGUCUUGACGGUACCUAAUCAGAAAGCCACGGCUAACUACGUG
rnacentral:rRNA from 1 species